GAUGAACGCUGGCGGCGUGCCUAAUACAUGCAAGUCGAGCGAACGGACGAGAAGCUUGCUUCUCUGAUGUUAGCGGCGGACGGGUGAGUAACACGUGGAUAACCUACCUAUAAGACUGGGAUAACUUCGGGAAACCGGAGCUAAUACCGGAUAAUAUUUUGAACCGCAUGGUUCAAAAGUGAAAGACGGUCUUGCUGUCACUUAUAGAUGGAUCCGCGCUGCAUUAGCUAGUUGGUAAGGUAACGGCUUACCAAGGCAACGAUGCAUAGCCGACCUGCGAGGGUGAUCGGCCACACUGGAACUGAGACACGGUCCAGACUCCUACGGGAGGCAGCAGUAGGGAAUCUUACGCAAUGGGCGAAAGCCUGACGGAGCAACGCCGCGUGAGUGAUGAAGGUCUUCGGAUCGUAAAACUCUGUUAUUAGGGAAGAACAUAUGUGUAAGUAACUGUGCACAUCUUGACGGUACCUAAUCAGAAAGCCACGGCUAACUACGUG
rnacentral:rRNA from 1 species